CAGAGCGAGACUGUCUCAAAAAAGAAAGAUAGUCAUUUGUGCACUUGGACCCAACAUAUAAAAGGUGCUGACUCUCAUACCUAGACACAGGACAGGUGGGGGAUACUUAAUCUCAGCUCUGGACCUUCCUGAAAGUGUGGUUGUGACAUAGCCCAUCAUGGCUAAGCUCUUUAUUUGUAGCAAGAGGAGGGAGAGAAGGCAGUCUUUGUGGCUCCAGAGUGUCAGGAUUCAUGAGGAUGGCUAGGUCAGUUCUUGAUUUGGGGUGGAAGGCUUUCGCCUAGAUAUUCUAUUAAAAUGUUUUCUUCCUGGACUUAAAUGAUCCUUCCAUCUCGGCCUCCCAAAGUGCUGGGAUUAUAGGCAUGAGCAGUGGCCCGGUCUAGAUAUUCUCACAUUAGAAAGGUAAAGAGCAGUGGACGAGCUGGCUCUCAAGGCUGAGACAUUCUAUCUCCUUAGCUCUUCUUGCAACUCUUCUGAAAAUUGAGCUUGUAAAGUAGCUUUGAUCCUUAAAAAAAAAAAAAAAAUCUGUUGUCUGCUUAAACAAAAGCAGUUCUUAGAGUGGCUUUGCCUUUAUUUUAGUAUAACACAGAUUGCUUCUCCUUUGUUUCCGUUGUCUCAGUGUUCUCCCAGUUCUAAGAAGCUGUCAGCGUAUAUAAUAUAUUACCUGGUUGCCUCAGUCCCCUUCAAAUUUCCAUCCUUAAGGGUUUUCUUCCUAAUGGUUGGGGAAAUUCUUGAAAGGACAAGGUCAAUAUGCCUUUGCUGGGAUAUACUUUUAAAAAAUUUAUUUUGGCUCUGUGUUGUUUGUCAAGGCUUCAGAGAGCCCUGCAAGUGAGAGUGCUCCGUUUACCAUUUUGAAUUUCUCCCUUUCUGGUUGGCCAACAUCGUGUUUCCACUGUAAUCCACCUGAAAAACAAACAGGAAAGUUUACACAGGUCUCUGUGUUCAACCAUCUGCCUCCGCAAUGAUCUCUACAACAAUUGCUGAAAAAAAUGCAUUGUCCAUACUAAUGACAACCCACUGUGUACCUCCUCCCAUGCUCUCCAGCGGUGCAGCUUGUGGUGGUCAGUUGCCUGUUUUUCCUCGCUGUGAACGCUUUUAAUUAAAAGGAAGGGAUUCAGAACCUGCGGAUGUGGAGGGCCAGAGGGCUGAAUUUGCAAGUUGGGCAAUGGGGAAAGCCUUCACAAAGGAGAAAGCCUUUGGGCUGGAAUUGGAGGAGUAGGAGUCAAUAGAGAGAGAAGAGAGUAAAGGGCAAGGCCAUCAUUCCAGGUUUAGGGAGCAAGUACAAAGACACAGAGAAAUGAAAAGGCUUGGCCUGUUUGGAGAAUGUCAAGCUGUCUGGGGUUGAGAGAAAGACAUUCUAACAAGGCUUCCAUUAAAGAGGCUAGAUUUGCUGCUUGGACAUUUUCUAGCUCUUCUGAGACAACUUUUUGUUGAGUUAAGCGAAAAUGAAUGAAAAUCAGAUGGACCAUAUUUCUCUUGAAUGCACACGGGCUUAAAAACGAAGGGGAAAAAGAACUUGACAGAAUGUGUCUUGGCUUUUGCCAAACCCAAAGUAUUUGAAAAAUCACACAGUACACAUCUCGAACCCAAAAACAUGCCUGGAUUCUACCACCCCUAACUGCAGCUGCAGCCAUUUAAUAAAAUGAAUUGUGUACAAGAAAA